UACAGAGGGUGCGAGCGUUAAUCGGAAUUACUGGGCGUAAAGCGUGCGUAGGUGGUGAGUUAAGUCUGUCGUGAAAGCCCCGGGCUCAACCUGGGAAUGGCGAUGGAUACUGGCUCGCUAGAGUGCGGUAGAGGAGAGUGGAAUUCCCGGUGUAGCAGUGAAAUGCGUAGAGAUCGGGAGGAACAUCAGUUGCGAAGGCGGCUCUCUGGACCAGCACCGACAUUCAGGCACGAAAGCGUGGGGAGCAAACAGG
rnacentral:rRNA from 1 species